rnacentral:tRNA from 1 species
GGGGAAUUAGCUCAUCGGGUAGAGCACCUGGUUUGCAACCAGGAGGUGAUCGGUUCGAGACCGAUAUUCUCCACAA